GGCCAGCUAGCUCAGUUGGUCAGAGCGUGGUGCUAAUAACGCCAAGGUCAUGGGUUCGAGCCCCAUGCUGGCCC